AUCCCAUGAUGAGGACACUCAAGUAUGUAAUCUUGAGAGUGCUCCAAAGCUUCUCAGACUGUCUCAUCAUGUUGUUGCUGAAAGCUUGAUAUCUUCCAACACAGAGCAU
rnacentral:snoRNA from 1 species